rfam:Omnitrophica bacterium OLB16 TZ16_OP3001CONTIG000140, whole genome shotgun sequence.
CCAUAAACCAGACCACGGUCGUAGACAGUAGGAGCCUUUGAGGCUUAAUCCGUAAAAUCCUACCGAGACUGGGCAGGUGAUGUCUGAAGGAGGCUCCGGCCUCCUCAUGCAGACUGAAUUCCAAAAGCCCACUCGAAGGAGUGGGCUUUUUUUGUUGAUUCU